rnacentral:rRNA from 1 species
AGAGUUUGAUCAUGGCUCAGGAUGAACGCUAGCUACAGGCUUAACACAUGCAAGUCGAGGGGAAACGACAUCGAAAGCUUGCUUUUGAUGGGCGUCGACCGGCGCACGGGUGAGUAACGCGUAUCCAACCUGCCCACCACUUGGGGAUAACCUUGCGAAAGUAAGACUAAUACCCAAUGACGUCUCUAGAAGACAUCUGAAAGAGAUUAAAGAUUUAUCGGUGAUGGAUGGGGAUGCGUCUGAUUAGCUUGUUGGGCGGGGUAACGGGCCCACCAAGGCGACGAUCAGUAGGGGUUCUGAGAGGAAGGUCCCCCACAUUGGAACUGAGACACGGUACCAAACUCCGUACGGGAGGCA